rnacentral:rRNA from 1 species
AGGACGAACGCUGGCGGCGUGCUUAACACAUGCAAGUCGAGCGGUGAUCCUCCUUCGGGAGGUGAUCAGCGGCGAACGGGUGAGUAACACGUGGGCAACCUGCCCCUCACACUGGGAUAAACCUCGGGAAACCGGGGCUAAUACCGGAUACGACCUCGAGCGGCAUCUCUUGAGGUGGAAAGCUCCGACGGUGAGGGAUGGGCCCGCGGCCUAUCAGCUUGUUGGUGGGGUAAUGGCCUACCAAGGCGACGACGGGUAGCCGGCCUGAGAGGGCGACCGGCCACACUGGGACUGAGACACGGCCCAGACUCCUACGGGAGGCAGCAGUGGGGAAUAUUGCGCAAUGGGCGAAAGCCUGACGCAGCGACGCCGCGUGAGGGAUGAAGGCCUUCGGUUGUAAACCUCUUUCAGCAGGGACGAAGCGAAAGUGACGGUACCUGCAGAAGAAGCACCGGCUAACUACGUGCCAGCAGCCGCGGUAA